UACGUAGGGUGCAAGCGUUUAAUCGGAAUUACUGGGCGUAAAGCGCACGUAGGCGGCUUUGUAAGUUAGAGGUGAAAGCCCGGAGCUUAACUCCGGAACUGCCUUUAAGACUGCAUCGCUAGAAUCGUGGAGAGGUGAGUGGAAUUCCGAGUGUAGAGGUGAAAUUCGUAGAUAUUCGGAAGAACACCAGUGGCGAAGGCGACUCACUGGACACGUAUUGACGCUGAGGUGCGAAAGCGUGGGGAGCAAACAGG
rnacentral:rRNA from 1 species